GACGAACGCUGGCGGCGUGCUUAACACAUGCAAGUCGAACGGAAAGGCCCUGCUUUUGUGGGGUGCUCGAGUGGCGAACGGGGGAGUAACACGUGAGUAACCUGCCCUUGACUUUGGGAUAACUUCAGGAAACUGGGGCUAAUACCAGAUAGGAGCUCCUGCUGCAUGGUGGGGGUUGGAAAGUUUCGGCGGUUGGGGAUGGACUCGCGGCUUAUCAGCUUGUUGGUGGGGUAGUGGCUUACCAAGGCUUUGACGGGUAGCCGGCAUGCGAGGGGGACCGGCCACAUUGCGCCUGAGGUAGGGCCCAGACUCCUACGGGAGGCAGCAGUGGGGAAUAUUGCACAAUGGGCGGAAGCCUGAUGCAGCAACGCCGCGUGCGGGAUGACGGCCUUCGGGUUGAGAACCGCAUUCGCCUGUGACGAAGCGUGAGUGACGGUAAUGGGUAAAGAAGCACCGGCUAACUACGUG
rnacentral:rRNA from 1 species